UCUGUGGUGGUGCAGAGGUUAGGACUCUGCACUUUCAAUGCAGAGGGCCGGGGUUCAAUCCUUGGUCAGCGAA
rfam:TPA: Bos taurus chromosome 24, whole genome shotgun sequence.